GAUGAACGCUGGCGGCGUGCUUAACACAUGCAAGUCGAACGGAAAGGCCCAAGCUUGCUUGGGUACUCGAGUGGCGAACGGGUGAGUAACACGUGGGUGAUCUGCCCUGCACUUCGGGAUAAGCCUGGGAAACUGGGUCUAAUACCGGAUAGGACCACUUCUUGGAUGUUGUGGUGAAAAGUUUUUUCGGUGUGGGAUGAGCUCGCGGCCUAUCAGCUUGUUGGUGGGGUAAUGGCCUACCAAGGCGUCGACGGGUAGCCGGCCUGAGAGGGUGUACGGCCACAUUGGGACUGAGAUACGGCCCAGACUCCUACGGGAGGCAGCAGUGGGGAAUAUUGCACAAUGGGCGCAAGCCUGAUGCAGCGACGCCGCGUGGGGGAUGACGGCCUUCGGGUUGUAAACUCCUUUCGCUAGGGACGAAGCGUUUUGUGACGGUACCUGGAGAAGAAGCACCGGCUAACUACGUG
rnacentral:rRNA from 1 species